AUAUAAUAUACAUUUUUUUGAUUUCAAAAACGAAAGAGAAUAACUCUAGCAGAUAAGGAAGUGUUAAAUAAUGACAAGUCAUGAGCAUUUCGAGGAAUGAACGAAUACGAGUUAUAUUAUAUUUAAAGCCAUAUAUUGGGUUGUACACGUGUACGUGCGUUUCGGGCCAUAUAACAGUAUACAUAGGUAACGAACACAGUUGAGCAUCAGACGAAUACGACGUGUACGGGGAAAAAAAAUAAAAUCGAAAAAUCUGAUUAUUUCAGAUACCCGGGUCUGUACACGGUUCAGUACGACAAUAGUAACUAUAGUAAAAGUAAUAAUAAUAUACGUUGGACAGUGACACUGCACGUGCACCCGGUGUACUCGUAUUAUGUUUAAAUAUUGUUAUCAGGUCAACGAUAUUUGUCGUGGAGCUCCGAGCCUGGCGGAGGUCGAUUUUACCGUUACGGCCGCAACGCAUAUCAUAUCACUACCUACGUGUGUGCGUCCUAAUAUACAUGUUCCAAGCCGAGUUCACAGCUACUCGUCGCGUUCGCAUUGCUACCCUGCACGUCUGCUGCUGUCCUCGCGCAAAGUUAUACAAUCACAAUACCUAUAAUAUUACCAAUUACAUACGUAUUAUUAUUGUUAUUAUUUUUACUUACGGACGGAAAUGUUUUGUUCGCCGCAAUACGCUUCGAAAUCCGAUGCCGAUCGAUGUAACGACCGUCGUAUCGUCUCGUCGACGUGAUAGUAAUACGGUGAAAAUCUUAUUUCUCGACCAGCCAGCAGUAACCGUUGUCCGGAGGAGACUCGGAGGAAUAAGACGUAACCUAUAAUAUACUGAUAAUAUUCCUGAAGAAAUCAUAUAUCUACACGCCGUUGGACUGGUUACUUCGGUCGAAAUUUCACGAGGCCUGUGUGUUACACCAUUAUAUUACAAUGGAGUGCACACCAUAAUAAUGAACAACCGAUAAUUGAAAUCGAUAAUAAUCGAGUUAUGCACAAAACGUGUCCGGUGUCUGCUAAUAUGAGUUUUAAUCCAUGUUAUAACAAUGUGCCGAGGAACUACGACGUGCAUAUUAUGUACAUAUUAAAUAUAUAUAUUAUAUAUUAAGUACGUAUUAUGGAUAUUAAGUAUAUGGUUAUAAGUUUAUUAAUGCAGUUACAUAAACUUGUUACUUGUUUUAUAUUAUAUGACAUUGAAAUAUUUUUUUUUGUUUCUCAAAUCCGAAAUUUAUUCAGAGUUUAUUAAUAUUUCUAUACAAUUAUAGUAUGAACUUGUGCAUAAUUCAAAAAUGUGAUUUAGUACCUUUAUCCUAUGGCCUUUCACCUGUAACGGAAAUUCGAUAUAACUACAAUAAAUUAAUUCACUAUUUACUUUAUUUUAACUGGUUAUCUCGUGUGUGUUUUCCACUAAGUAAAUUUAUUGUGAAUAAUAUAUGACAAACAAAUGUAUACCUUUGUAUUUUUUUUCUUAGAAAUAUUUUAUAAUAAAUUCAUAUAUACCUAAACAAUUAAGUGUGAUAUCGAAUUAAUGUUUGAAUUUUGCUGUUACAGAGUUCACGACAACCACACGGUAGAUUUAUAUCAAAUACCUAUAAAAAAAAAUGUUAACCGUUCUUUUUUUUUAGUGGAAAUGGACCAAUGCGUGUACAUUAAUGUACAUAGUGUCUACAAUGUAGACUCUACAUAAUGUAUCUACAAUAUAAAUCUAAUCAUCAUACUAAAUGUUAUACAUUUGUGACGAUUUUGGUUUGAAAUUAUACAAAAAAAAAAAAAAGAAAAAAUUAAAUUGUUAUUUUUAUCGAAUACAAUAUCUAUUUGUGAAUAUAAUGAAUACUUAGGUAGGUUAUAUGAUAAGAUGAUAUAAAUAACAGUUAUAUAGAAAUAAAUUCUAGCUUAUUUGUAUAGGAUAAUCUACAGCUCAUGUACGUAAUAAAAUUAAGAAUUUUAAAUCACCUACUUAUUCGUAUUCCUUGAACAAGAUCAGAUAUAUCAUACACAAACGAAUUGAUAA